AUGAGUAUCAUUCAAAUAAGCUGCAUAUUUCCUGGAAAUCACACAUUAUUUUCAAUACUCUCUUAUUAUUACAUAGAUAUAAUUUAUAACCAAGUGAUCACAUAGCACUUAUUAAUGUGUAGGAACAAAACCUACCAUGAACAUGCUACUUAUUCCAAAUACAUAGACUAAUAAACUAGUUAAUAAUUAAACACUGCCCUUAAUAGCAUUACUGUAUCCACUUUGUCCAUCAUUGAAUCUAUCCCAAAUCAUAACACCACCAUAUUUAGCAGAACCCUUAAUAGCAGGAAGAACUUGAGAAAUCAAAACAUCAGAAGGAAUAAAACCACCACUUGGAGCAGCAGCAUCAUUAGCAGGUACACCUAAAAACACUUGUUUAGCUUGACUUGAAGUCCAUUGAUUCCAAGCAUUAACAAGAUUGUUAGUGUUUCCACUUGAGUAUUGGCACUGAGGAUUAUUAUAAAACUGAACCCACACAUAAUCAAAUAAACCGGUAUUAAUAGCCGAAUCCAAAU
rnacentral:lncRNA from 1 species